AUGUUCAACUCCACCCCUGGUCCUUGGGCGGCCGUGGGUCCCCUUCGAAGCGGAGGAAUGGCCAACCUCGCCGCACUUCGAGCCCCUUUAGGGUGCGUUUAAGAACAGUGGGCGUGGCCUUUACGUAAAUCUUCGAGUUGGGAACCUCCAGAAUUUGUCUCAAUUGUCUAAAAGAUGGAGUUAAUUCUUUGGACAAGCUGGGUGAGAAAAGCAGGGUGGGUGAGGUAACCUUAACACCAGCUGCCCUACU
rnacentral:sRNA from 1 species